rnacentral:rRNA from 1 species
AGGUUAACCAUCUAGGGGAGCCGUAGGGAAACCGAGUCUUAACUGGGCGUUCAGUCUCUGGAUAUAGACCCGAAACCAGGUGAUCUAGCCAUGGGCAGGUUGAAGGUUGAGUAACAUCAACUGGAGGACCGAACCGACUAAUGUUGAAAAAUUAGCGGAUGACUUGUGGCUAGGGGUGAAAGGCCAAUCAAACCUGGAGAUAGCUGGUUCUCCCCGAAAGCUAUUUAGGUAGCGCCUCGGACGAAUACUACUGGGGGUAGAGCACUGUUAAGGCUAGGGGGUCAUCCCGACUUACCAACCCUUUGCAAACUCCGAAUACCAGUAAGUACUAUCCGGGAGACACACGGCGGGUGCUAACGUCCGUCGUGGAGAGGGAAACAACC